CAAUGCUUUUCUGGACUACGUUAUGUGUUAAUAUUACAGACUGAAUUUUUGAUAGGGAGCUAAAUUAAUUUUUAUGACUAAAAAAUUUAGGUUUUUUUGUGGGCCCAUUUCAAGAAUAAUUACUCACAAAUGGUAACUCAGGAAGAGCAACUUACUAUUUUUUAGCACUUUAAUUUAACUUCUCGUGCCCACUUAAUUUCGCAAUUUAUUGUUUUUGACUUCUACCACGAAAAAAAAUUUGCAAUUUUGUCCGUGCAGAGUUUUCUGGGUGGGAUGAAAAAAAUUGAACAACUGUUCCAACUAUGAGUAAUCUCUUUAUUAGGAGGAGAAUAUAGCGAGACUUUCAAAAAACUUUACGUAUAUAAAGGAGGAACAUUUCUGGUUACUUUUGCAUAUCCAAUCUUUUCAUUAAUCUUAGUAAAACACCAGCAAUAAAUCUAUAUAAAGAAACCAAACUACAAAUAAUUUCGAACAAUGACAAAUAUUGACAUUAACAACUUACAAAAUACGUUCCAACAAGCUAUGAAUGUGAGCGGUUCUGCAGGUGCCGU
rnacentral:sRNA from 1 species